rnacentral:rRNA from 1 species
UACGUAGGGCGCAAGCGUUGUCCGGAAUUAUUGGGCGUAAAGAGCUCGUAGGCGGUCUGUCGCGUCUGCCGUGAAAACCCGAGGCUUAACCUCGGGCUGGCGGUGGAUACGGGCAGACUAGAGGUAGGUAGGGGAGAAUGGAAUUCCUGGUGUAGCGGUGAAAUGCGCAGAUAUCAGGAGGAACACCGGUGGCGAAGGCGGUUCUCUGGGCAUUACCUGACGCUGAGGAGCGAAAGUGUGGGGAGCGAACAGG